rnacentral:misc_RNA from 1 species
AAAUUAACGAUUUGUUCACAGUUGAUUUUUUCCUAUAUAUAUUGACAAUUUAGCAGAAAGGACUUUCCGAUACAUUUCGCUUGAAAAAUAAUUUGUGUACAUUUAUUCUAUUCUAAGCCUUGAAGUAGUAGAAAUUUAAUACUACUAUAUUUACACGAAAUGUCAAAGCACUUACUCAGAUUUUUGUAGCAUUGUGUUAAUAGACAAAAAAAGUAUAUAUCUAAAAAGGAAAGCGUUUGAUUGAGAGACACGGAGAAGACACUUUUUGUAUUAAAACUGAAACUGUAGACGUGCUGGUAUUGAACCGAAGAACAAUGAAACGUGGUUUUCAAGUCUACUCUAAUGAAUUUUACAAAUUGAGAAUAAAUAUUUAAUGGACAUUGGAAAACCUGCCACUAAUAUGGAACACGUUUACGCGUUUUACAUCAUUUUUGUAAUUUAGCCAAUUGCAAAUUUUAAGUGCCACUGAAUUAUAUAAGAGAACUGAAAUGCACGCGAGCGAGAGCGUUUUGUGAAUUUAUUUAUUACUUCAUUAAAAUGUGUAUUAUGUUAGAACAUUGAACCUGGUAGCUUAUAUGAUUGGCGUUUCAAGAUUUAAAGAACAUUAAAGGAUUAAAGAAGUUUAAAAGUUAAGCCUUGUUACAUUGAAGUGCAUAUUCUACAGGAGUAAUUGCAUAACUUUAUGUCAAUAGUUGGAAUAUUACCAAGUUCAUCAUAUACGCAGCUUCGCUUUAGGAUAUUGUUUUUAUUUCUCCUAAGAUAUUCUUGACGAUUGACCACAAUGUUUGUCACUGUACGGUACGGCGACAAUGAGAGCCGUUUAUUCAACAUAAACUGCCGGAACGAAGUAUUGCUCUACCAGAUCAAGAAAAGAUGCAAAAUGGAUCACGACGAAAUAAUAGAGCUAUCUGAUGAACAAGGAAGCGUGAAAAAUCUACGACAAAACCUGAACGAAUAUGGAUAUGAUUACCUUAAGGAAAGGGAGACGCUGAUAUUGCUGCGAGUGGAUGCCUGUGAAGGUGAACACACUGAAGAGAAUGAGUCAGUGAUAGACAAGACUAUGUUUAUACCUAUGUUAGCAACUAUGAAUGAAAAUCAAGAUUUUAUAGACGCACUGAACCCACAAAAUCACCUCGGACGCAAAAAUUCUUUAUUGGAUGAUGUAGAUGGAAAAGGAAGAAAAUCUAAAAAUAAAGACAAGAAAAAAGAUAAAAAAUCAAAACCUCCACAGCCUAAGAAAUGAUACACAAUUAUGUUCUAUAUAUUCAUUGUUAUCUGUGAUCUCAGUUAUGUUACUUUUUAUUGAAUAAGACAGUUUAAAGGGGCCUGUCUCCAAAUGAAUGUCACGUUUAAAGGGGCCUAUCUCCAGUUCAGCAUCACAAAAGGGCAAUCGUAACUUUCAAAAGCAAAAUAAAAUUCAAAAAUCAAUCCGUAUUAUCUAGACUUUACUACAUAUUUCAUAAAUUAGAUCUACAUUCUACUUCAAAAUCAUUGAAUUGUUUUUAUUUUGCUUUUUAGUUACUCUUGUGUAGAAACAAUUGAAUGUUCUUUCAAAACAUUUUAUUUAACUCUGGAGAUA